GCUGGGCAUGGUGGCACAUGCCUGUAAUCCCAGCUUCUUGGGAGGCUGAGGCAGGAGAAUUGCUUGAACCCAGGAGGUGGAGGUUUCAGUGAACUGAGAUCACGCCACUGCAUUCCACCCUGGGCAAGAAAGCAAGACUCUGUCUUGA
ensembl:misc_RNA Metazoa_SRP Metazoan signal recognition particle RNA